UUACUUAGCUACUCAAUGCAUUUGUUUAACAUAGUAGCCUUCUCAAGAUGACUAUGUAUACAACACCAAAUCAACACAAGUAGAAUAAUUUAAACUUAUUUUAUACAUCAUUUUAAAAAUUAAAUAUAUGUCUUAAACACUAAAACAAGGAAAUAUGCAAUUUUUUUAUGAAUAAUUAUAAUGACCUAAAUUAUAAUGUAUCGAUAUUGAGUUUUUUAAAAUCUGAAAUUCUAAAAUAUGACGCAUUGAUAUCAUAAUAUGUUGUUUAAAAAAAUAUACAAUGAAAAAAAG
rnacentral:lncRNA from 1 species